AAUGAACGUUGGCGGCGUGGAUUAGGCAUGCAAGUCGUACGGGCCGGUGUAGCAAUACAACGGCAAGUGGCGAAAGGGAGAGUAACACGUAGAUACCUACCCUCUGGUCGGGGAUACCGCGGCAUGACCGCAAGUAAUACCCGAUAAAAUCUCCGGAUCAAAGGUGUGAUUCCGCCGGAGGAGGGGUCUGCGUUCUAUCAGCUUGUUGGUGAGGUAAUGGCUCACCAAGGCUAAGACGGAUACGGGGUGUGAGAGCAUGCCCCCGCUCACUGGGACUGAGACACUGCCCAGACACCUACGGGUGGCUGCAGUCGAGAAUCUUCGGCAAUGGGCGCAAGCCUGACCGAGCGACGCCGCGUGCGGGAUGAAGGCCUUCGGGUUGUAAACCGCUGUCGAGGGGAAUGAAGUGUAGGUGGGUACUCCCAUCUACUUGACAGAUCCCUGGAGGAAGCAUGGGCUAAGUUCGUGCCAGCCGCCGCUGUAACAC
rnacentral:rRNA from 1 species